AAAAUAAAACAGUAAUAACCGUAGACAGCAGGUUUUAACGCGUUUUUAACGCCCCCGCCGAGGUGAAACUCAAAAAGUUUAUAAAGUUUUUUAUGACCUUUUUGCGCUUUUCCCGGCGUAAAAAGGUCUUUUUUCUGCGGU
rfam:Acidiphilium sp. CAG:727 genomic scaffold, scf144